CCGUUUAGGGGUAAACUGAAAAACCGAAAGGUCGAAGGGAGAAAUUCAUCGCGUCUCGACGUCGGCAAGAGGCAAUGUUGUGUGACGGGGAUGUGUUCGCAUAUUUCCGCGCCCUUUGUUUUAUUGAUCUGACGACGAACGCGUGCACUUUUCUCCUGGUAGGACGUCGCGAUCCGUUGGGUGUCGGUCUACGGCUUGCGGUGGAGCCCGUUCGUCAUUAUUGACGAAUGGACCCGCGUUGAUCCUGGCCGACUCGCUCGACGGUAUAAGAAAGGUUAGAGGCCGCUCGAUUUGGAGCGUUCGACUCGUGGCAAGCGCGCCAGAUGCGUUGGCAAUCGGACCUGGUGCCGUUUCUGACCUCUGGUGACUGUUGGCUACGAUGUUCUCGGACAGACCUCAAGACCGAUCUGCGACGCUAUAGCUUUGGGUACUUUCAGGACCCGUCUUGAAACACGGACCAAGGAGUCUAGCAUGUACGCGAGUCAUUGGGAAUCACUAAACCUAAAGGCGCAAUGAAAGUAAAGGUCUUCCUUGCGAAGACCGAGGGAAGACGGGCGGUUCUACCGUUAAAAGUGGCCGCUCAGCAUUCCCGGGGCGUCUCAUUCUCAUUGCGAGAAGAGGCGCACCAAGAGCGUACACGCUGGGACCCGAAAGAUGGUGAACUAUGCCUGGUCAGGACGAAGUCAGGGGAAACCCUGAUGGAGGUCCGUAGCGAUUCUGACGUGCAAAUCGAUCGUCGGAACUGGGUAUAGGGGCGAAAGACUAAUCGAACCAUCUAGUAGCUGGUU
rnacentral:rRNA from 1 species